rnacentral:rRNA from 1 species
AGAGGAAGUAAAAGUCGUAACAAGGUCUCCGUAGGUGAACCUGCGGAGGGAUCAUUACCGAGUUCAUGCCCUUACGGGUAGACCUCCCACCCUAUGUUAUAUUACCUUUGUUGCUUUGGCGGGCCGCCCGGCUUCGGCCAGGCUACCGGCUCCAGCUGGUAAGCGCUCGCCAGAGGACCCUCAACUCUGAAUAUCAGUGUCGUCUGAGUACUAUAAAAUAGUUAAAACUUUCAACAACGGAUCUCUUGGUUCUGGCAUCGAUGAAGAACGCAGCGAAAUGCGAUAAGUAAUGUGAAUUGCAGAAUUCAGUGAAUCAUCGAAUCUUUGAACGCACAUUGCGCCCCUUGGUAUUCCGAGGGGCAUGCCUGUUCGAGCGUCAUUACAACCCUCAAGCACUGCUUGGUAUUGGGCUCCGCUGGCUCCAGCGGGCCUUAAAAUCAGUGGCGGCGCCGUUUGGGCUCUGAGCGUAGUAAAUAUCCUCGCUAUAGAGACCAGGCGGUUCUUGUCAUCAACCCCCAACUUUCUAAGUUUGACCUCGGAUCAGGUAGGGAUACCCGCUGAACUUAAGCAUAUCAAU